rnacentral:SRP_RNA from 1 species
GCUGGGCGGGGUGGCGUUUCUGUAGUCCAGCCACUCAGGAGGCUGAGGUGGGAGGAUCGCUUAAGCCCAGGAAUUGUGGGCUGUGGUGUGCUAUGCUGAUCGGAUGUCCGCACUAAGUUCAGCAUCAAUAUGAUGACCUUCCGGGAGCAGGGGACCACCAGGUUGCCUAAGGAGGGGUGAACUGGCCCAGGUUGGAAACAGAGCAGGUCAAAACUCCUGUGCUGAGGCUGGGCAUAGUGGCUCACGCUUGUAAUCCAAGCACUUUGGAGGCCAAGGCGGGCAGAUCACCUGAGAUCGGGAGUUCAAGACCAGCCUGACCAACAUAGUGAAACCCCGUCUUA